GAAAAUGGCGGCGUGCUAUACAUGCAAGUCGAGCGAGGCCUUCGGGCCUAGCGGCGGACGGGUGAGUAACACGUGGGUAACCUGCCUGUAAGACUGGGAUAACUUCGGGAAACCGAAGCUAAUACCGGAUAAUAUUUUUGGUUGCAUGACCGAAAAUUGAAAGGUGGCUUUUAGCUAUCACUUACAGAUGGACCCGCGGCGCAUUAGCUAGUUGGUGAGGUAACGGCUCACCAAGGCAACGAUGCGUAGCCGACCUGAGAGGGUGAUCGGCCACACUGGGACUGAGACACGGCCCAGACUCCUACGGGAGGCAGCAGUAGGGAAUCUUCCGCAAUGGACGAAAGUCUGACGGAGCAACGCCGCGUGAGUGAAGAAGGUUUUCGGAUCGUAAAACUCUGUUGUUAGGGAAGAACAAGUGCCGUUUGAAUAAGGCGGCACCUUGACGGUACCUAACCAGAAAGCCACGGCUAACUACGUGCCAGCAGCCGCGGUAAUACGUAGGUGGCAAGCGUUGUCCGGAAUUAUUGGGCGUAAAGCGCGCGCAGGUGGUUCCUUAAGUCUGAUGUGAAAGCCCACGGCUCAACCGUGGAGGGUCAUUGGGAAACUGGGGAACUUGAGUGCAGAAGAAGGAAAGUGGAAAUUCCGAGGUGGUAGCGGUGAAAUGCGUAGAGAAUUUGGAGGAACACCAGUUGGGCGAAAGGCGACUUUUCUGGUCUGUAACUGACACUGAGGCGCGAAAGCCGUGGGGGAGCAAAACAGGAUUAGAAUACCCUGGGUAGUCCACGCCGGUAAACGAUGAGUGCUAAGUGGUUAAAGGGGUUCCGCCCCUUAAUGCUGCAGCUAACGCAUAAGCACUCCGCCCUGGGGGAGUACGCCGCAGCUGAAACUCAAAGGAACGACGGGACCCGCCACAAGCCGUGGAGCCAUGUGGGAUUAAUUCGAAGCAACGCCGAAGAAUGCUUAGCAGUCCUGGACAUCCUUGAACACCUUGGAAUAGGCGUUCCCCUCAGUGACGAUGACAGUGGUGCAACA
rnacentral:rRNA from 1 species